rnacentral:rRNA from 1 species
CGCAAGCCUGACGGAGCAAGACCGCGUGGGGGAGGAAUGCCUUAGGGUUGUAAACCCCUUUUAUCUGGGAAGAACAAAAUGACGGUACCAGAUGAAUAAGCCUCGGCUAACUCCGUGCCAGCAGCCGCGGUAAUACGGAGGAGGCAAGCGUUAUCCGGAUUUAUUGGGCGUAAAGAGUCCGUAGGUGGCUAAUCAAGUCCGAAGUUAAAGACAGAAGCUAAACUUCUGGAAAGCAGCGGAAACUGAAGAGCUAGAGUGUAGGAGAGGUAGAGGGAAUUCCCAGUGUAGCGGUGAAAUGCGUAGAGAUUGGGAAGAACACCAGUGGCGAAGGCGCUCUACUGGACUAAAACUGACACUGAGGGACGAAAGCUAGGGGAGCG